GGCAGAUGAUGUUUAUCUUCACGAUGGUCUUCAGAUGCCUGCCACGGGCACUGCUGAGCAAGCCACUUAGCACAGCUGAAGCCAGAGC
rfam:Pteropus alecto contig5117, whole genome shotgun sequence.